rnacentral:misc_RNA from 1 species
GAAAUGCGAUACGUAGUGUGAAUUGCAGAAUUCAGUGAAUCAUCGAAUCUUUGAACGCACACUGCGCCCUUUGGUAUUCCAAAGGGCAUGCCUGUUCGAGCGUCAUUUGUACCCUCAAGCUUUGCUUGGUGUUGGGCGUUUUUUGUCUUUGGCUCGCCCAAAGACUCGCCUUAAAACGAUUGGCAGCCGGCCUACUGGUUUCGCAGCGCAGCACAUUUUUGCGCUUGCAAUCAGCAAAAGAGGACGGCAAUCCAUCAAGACUCCUUCUCACGUUUGACCUCGGAUCAGGUAGGGAUACCCGCUGAACUUAAGC